rnacentral:lncRNA from 1 species
AGUGGCAGCUGGCCUCCAUGGGGCGGUGCAGACAGGGGACUGUCAUUGCUGGAGCACCUCGUGGCUAUCCACAGGAAAUGGAAAAAACAUGCUGUUUUCACAACGCGGACGACACCGUGUCAAAGGAAGUUAUGGAAAAGAGACUGAAAGCAGUGCACUGGUACCCCUUGCAGCAAUUGGAUGUUAUAAAUGUGAUUUCCACAUCACACACAUACCAUGACCUGAAGUUUUGGAUGGAAUGGUGAGCAUAUUUAUGCAGUGAGCCAUCUUAAGUGCCGACUGGCAUACUCUAGUGUUCAAGGGCACUGAAUAUAUUCUAAUUAAGACUGCAAGACUGUAAUACAAUCACAGUCAGAAUUCAUCAAUUCAAUAAACAAUACACAUUUGAACAGUGGUCUCCGGUACAAUGGCAUACCGACA